rnacentral:rRNA from 1 species
GACGAACGCUAGCUACAGGCUUAACACAUGCAAGUCGAGGGGAAGCGAUAUUGGAAGCUUGCUUCCGAUAGGCGUCGACCGGCGCACGGGUGAGUAACGCGUAUCCAACCUGCCCAUCACUUGGGGAUAACCUUGCGAAAGUAAGACUAAUACCCAAUGAUAUCCGUCGAAGACAUCUGAAGUGGAUUAAAGAUUCAUCGGUGAUGGAUGGGGAUGCGUCUGAUUAGCCUGUUGGCGGGGUAACGGCCCACCAAGGCGACGAUCAGUAGGGGUUCUGAGAGGAAGGUCCCCCACAUUGGAACUGAGACACGGUCCAAACUCCUACGGGAGGCAGCAGUGAGGAAUAUUGGUCAAUGGACGAGAGUCUGAACCAGCCAAGUAGCGUGCAGGAUGACGGCCCUAUGGGUUGUAAACUGCUUUUAUAAGGGAAUAAAGUGAGAGUCGUGACUCUUUUUGCAUGUACCUUAUGAAUAAGGACCGGCUAAUUCCGUGCCAGCAGCCGCCGUAAGAC